rnacentral:rRNA from 1 species
UACGGAGGACCCAAGCGUUAUUCGGAUUUAUUGGGUUUAAAGGGUGCGUAGGCGGAUUAGUAAGUCAGAGGUGAAAUCCCACAGCUUAACUGUGGAACUGCCUUUGAUACUGCUAACCUUGAGUACAGAUGAUGUGGGCGGAAUAUGACAUGUAGCGGUGAAAUGCUUAGAUAUGUCAUAGAACACCGAUUGCGAAGGCAGCUCACAGAACUGUAACUGACGCUGAGGCACGAAAGCAUGGGGAUCGAACAGG